rnacentral:rRNA from 1 species
AUUGGACGCUGGCGGAAUGCUUUACACAUGCAAGUCGAGCGGGGUGAUGGUGCUUGCACUAUCACUUAGCGGCGGACGGGUGAGUAAUGCUUAGGAAUCUGCCUAUUAGUGGGGGACAACAUCUCGAAAGGGAUGCUAAUACCGCAUACGUCCUACGGGAGAAAGCAGGGGAUCACUUGUGACCUUGCGCUAAUAGAUGAGCCUAAGUCGGAUUAGCUAGUUGGUGGGGUAAAGGCCUACCAAGGCGACGAUCUGUAGCGGGUCUGAGAGGACGACCAGCCACACUGGAACUGAGAAACGGCCCAGACUCCUACGGGAGGCAGCAGUGGGGAAUAUUGGACAAUGGGGGGAACCCUGAUCCAGCCAUGCCGCGUGUGUGAAGAAGGCCUUAUGGUUGUAAAGCACUUUAAGCGAGGAGGAGGCUCUUUUGGUUAAUACCCAAGAUGAGUGGACGUUACUCGCAGAAUAAGCACCGGCUAACUCUGUGCCAGCCGCCGCGGUAA